GAGGUCCCCGCAUGGGAUAUUUGCUAAAGAUUCAUCGCUGAUAGAUAGGCAUGCGUUCCAUUAGGCAGUUGGCGGGGUAACGGCCCACCAAACCGACGAUGGAUAGGGGUUCUGAGAGGAAGGUCCCCCACAUUGGUACUGAGACACGGACCAA
rnacentral:rRNA from 1 species